ensembl:lncRNA
GUCUGUGCCUGGCCAUACUUGAGUGGUGUGUGUGUGUGUGUGUGUGUGUGUGUGUGUGUGUGUGUGUGUGUGUGUGUGUGUGUGUGUGUGUGUGUGUGUGUGUGUGUGUGUGUGUGUGUGUGUGUGUGUGGGCGAAAGAGUGAGUUUGGGCCGAGAGUGCCUAUCCAGACCUGCUGCCUCCUAAAAGGAAGAGAGAGAGAAAAUACAUGAGUGGAAAACUAAAUGACAGGACAUCGUGACCGUCUGGCCAUUGUUCAACGCUGUGGCGGCGGGUCAUGGGUUCAGAUCCCCAUACUGCAGACGAUGUGUUGUUUCGUGGUUCUGUGGCGCCGGAGUCACGUGCAGGACACUCGAAACCAAAUCAAAUGGAAUCAAAUGUUUUUGUCCCGUAAAUUCCUGGUGUCCAGCUAUCGCUGAGCUUUACAUUCAUUACCACCCAUUAGAGUGGAAGAACAGUGGGCUGAAAGGAGACAACAAUUAGUAGCGGUAUUCAUCCCAUACAAACGAGGGCCCCAACGGAAGCCAUUGACCGUCAUCCGACCAAUUAAAAUCCUUGGAAAACUUGGCAGGCAGAGACGUUCCAUGAAUCCCUGUCAACAACAACAACAACAAACCAAGACAAAAAUAAAUGUGUG